rnacentral:misc_RNA from 1 species
GGAGUCGAAGCUUUGUAAUUCUAGAAUGCAGAAGACUAUUAGAAGCAAGGUAUUGUUUCCGGCAGUCAACCGCUUCGUCAAUACGUUCACUUCCAGUUUCAGGGAAUCGUCGGAGAUUGGCCUAGGAGAUGGCCGCCCGCCGGAUGCCAACCGCUUGGACUUCUUAGCCAGCAGCAAUAGUACAAGGAAACCAUCAAAGAUAACAACAACAAAGAUAAACAGUGGGAUGAUGAUGAAAUUCUUUAUCAAAUUUCGAGCCCUGAAACUCGGAACAUUAUUAGCAUCAUUUCUCAAGGCUUCCCAGGCAAAGUCUUCCACUGACAAAGUAAAAACACGUGAAGAGUCGACAUUGUGGACCUAUAACCAGAGCCUAAUGGACAAGGGGUCACUGCAGGAAAGGAAGCAAGGAGAGAGAUCAAGAGCGUUGGAACUGAACUUGGAUGCAAUUAGAGGGGUCUUGGAAGGCAUGAGCAUUAGGAGCCUUCGUCGCAAAGAUAGAAGAAGAACAAAAAGCUGCCCUGGUUCUACCAAGUCCUCACCAAUUCAUCAGCGAUUUCCCUCUGAAACCUAUAAAAUUUCAUCUUCGGCUGUCACUGAUAACUCUAUCCAGGCAGCUAUUGCUCACUGUAAGAGAUCAUUUGGUCCAAAUAUUUGAUAUUUGGCUUUCAGCUUCUCUCUUAUCAUUUCCAUCACGAAAAGAGAAUUCUCC